UUUCAAUUGUUGUGUUUUGCAUGCUUGGAUUGUUUUGUUUUUUCUGCUUUCCCCUUUACCAAUCCAAACACACUGGACUGAAGCCGGUUGACGGAGGAGGCAGAGCUCACUAACUGCACAGCUGUGCUCAGGUUUCAGCAGAGGCUAAUAAAAGGAGCUUGGAAGAAGGUGGGAUUCGCAUGUCAGAACAGACGGCCCAGUACACGGAUGCAAGUAAACAAGGUUUGGGUGCCAUCUUAGCUCAGGUGCAAAGUGGCAGAGAAAAUGUGAUCGCCUAUGCUAAUCGAAGUUUGCAUCCUGCUGAAGGGAACGAUGCAAAUUACAGCUCUUUCAAGCUGGAACUUUUGGCUUUAAAGUGAGCCAUCACCGAAAAGUUUAAAGACUACCUGACAGGGGCCAAGUUUACAAUUUUUACAGAUAACAAUCCGGUGGCACACCAUCAAACUGCUCACUUGGGGGCAACAGAACAACGCUGGGUAGCGCAGUUAGCCUCUUUCAAUUUUGUUGUAAAAUAUCGGGCAGGGAAGGAAAACGUUAAUUCUGAUGCCUUGUCCAGAUAUCCAGCAGACACAGCACCAGAGGUCCAAGCUGCCUAUGUGACUAAUGUAGCAGCAUCUCCAGAUCCUCAGGAGCCUGGACUACAGACACAGGACUGGAAGACUGCUCAAGAGUCAGAUAUGGACCUGAAGGUUGUGCAAAGCCGGUUGACUGAGGAGGCAGAGCUCACUAACUGCACAGCUGCGCUCAGGUGUCAGCAGAGGCUUAUAAAAGGAGCUUGGAUAGAAGGGCGGGAAGAAGCUGACCCUGCAGGAGACAGACACGGACACACUGCCGAGCAAAGGAGCAGGUGGGAUCCGCAUGCCAGAACAGAUGGCCUAGUACAGAGGAUCAGGGCAGAAUGAACCUCUGCCUGCGCCUCUGAGGAUCGAAGGUGCGCUGCAGACGGGUGGCCUCCACCAGAAGCAUAAUUUUAAGCGGAGCUCAACCCCUGGCCCUAAUUGACUUUUAAGACAAUUGGUGAAUUUUGGAUUUUAAAGGAAGAAAAGGACUCUUUUAUGGUGCCACUAUUUCUGUGACUUUC